GAUGAAGAACGUAGUGAAAUGCGAUACGUAAUGUGAAUUGCAAAUUCAGUGAAUCAUCGAGUCUUUGAACGCACAUUGCGCCCCCUGGUAUUCCGGGGGGCAUGCCUGUCCGAGCGUCAUUGCUGCCCUCAAGCCCGGCUUGUGUGUUGGGCCCCGUCCCCCGAUCUCCGGGGGACGGGCCCGAAAGGCAGCGGCGGCACCGCGUCCGGUCCUCGAGCGUAUGGGGCUUUGUCACCCGCUCUGUAGGCCCGGCCGGCGCUUGCCGAUCAACCCAAAUUUUUAUCCAGGUUGACCUCGGAUCAGGUAGGGAUACCCGCUGAACUUAAGCAUAUCAAUAAGCGGAGGA
rnacentral:misc_RNA from 1 species